UACGUAGGGACCGAGCGUUGUCCGGAAUCAUUGGGCGUAAAGGGCGCGUAGGCGGCCUUCUAAGUCGAACGUGAAAUCCCCGGGCUCAACCCGGGAACUGCGUCCGAUACUGGAAGGCUUGAAUCCGGGAGAGGGAUGCGGAAUUCCAGGUGUAGCGGUGAAAUGCGUAGAUAUCUGGAGGAACACCGGUGGCGAAGGCGGCAUCCUGGACCGGUAUUGACGCUGAGGCGCGAAAGCUAGGGGAGCAAACGGG
rnacentral:rRNA from 1 species